CCCCAGUGUGUGUUGUUUCCCUCCCAGUGUCCAAGUGUUCUUAUUGUUCAACACCCACCUGUGAGUGAGAACAUGUGGUAUUUGGUUUUCUGUUCUUGUGUCAGUUUGCUGAGAACGAUG